GGAGAUGUGGCUCAGUGGUCAGGGUGCCCAUUUUGGAAGUAUGAGACCUUGAGUUUAAAUCUCAAUAUCAUAA
rnacentral:tRNA from 1 species